rnacentral:rRNA from 1 species
GACGAACGCUGGCGGCGUGCUUAACACAUGCAAGUCGAACGGAAAGGCCCUGCUUUUGUGGGGUGCUCGAGUGGCGAACGGGUGAGUAACACGUGAGUAACCUGCCCUUGACUUUGGGAUAACUUCAGGAAACUGGGGCUAAUACCGGAUAGGAGCUCCUGCUGCAUGGUGGGGGUUGGAAAGUUUCGGCGGUUGGGGAUGGACUCGCGGCUUAUCAGCUUGUUGGUGGGGUAGUGGCUUACCAAGGCUUUGACGGGUAGCCGGCCUGAGAGGGUGACCGGCCACAUUGGGACUGAGAUACGGCCCAGACUCCUACGGGAGGCAGCAGUGGGGAAUAUUGCACAAUGGGCGGAAGCCUGAUGCAGCAACGCCGCGUGCGGGAAGACGGCCUUCGGGUUGUAAACCGCUUUCGCCUGUGACGAAGCGUGAGUGACGGUAAUGGGUAAAGAAGCACCGGCUAACUACGUG